rnacentral:misc_RNA from 1 species
GUAGGUGAACCUGCGGAAGGAUCAUUAUCGUACCACAUGUGUGAGGCGUGCGAGGGCUGUCGCUGACUUUUUGACACAAAAGUCGUGCACGCCGGAGCGUGUCCUCUCACAUAAAAUCCAUCUCACCCUUUUGUGCACCACCGCGUGGGCACCUUUUGGGAUCGAACCGAUCCUGGAGGGGGCUUGCGUUUUCACACAAACCCCUUUUAAAAAAGUGUAGAAUGACCCCAUUUUGCGAUGACACGCAAUCAAUACAACUUUCAACAACGGAUCUCUUGGCUCUC